AUGGACUGGAUGCGCUCAGUGACCCCUCCCCCUGCCUAUUUAUUCAGUGUGUUCCACGGCUGAGUUCAGAAAAGCUUUUCUCCCUUGUUCUCGAGCUGUAGUCCCAGUCCACUACAAAGGUGUUGGAGUCCUGGUAUUCUUGCUGGUGUGCAUCCUCUCUUUCAGCCACCAAGUUUGUUUUACUCUAGAGCUGAAUGCCAACCUCUUGCCUGUGGUGACCAAACCCAACCGUUUUUCACCUCCCCGUGGACAAGGUUUCCCACAAGUAUUCUUGGUCGUGUACUACUUGUUCCAUGCUCGGCAAAGAACUCCUACCAGAAGGAGUGAAGAUUCAAGCUGAAGUGGUGACUGAAGAGGAAUCUACUCCAGUGGCUGCUGAUCAAGUGGAGGAGCCAUCUAACUGGGGUUUAAUAGAGGGAUCGAGUACCUCUUCACUGCAAUAAGGCGAAGUUUUAUUCCCUUAUCUUUGGGUUAGUUACUUCAUGUGGAAGACUUCAAGCUUAGAAGGUUUUUAUAUAUCUCUUAUGAAAAGGCUUCACCCUUCCAAUUAUUGUAGUUAAGUUAUGCCCUUCGAGUACUAUCAGGACUUGUAAUAAAUACAUCUCUUUCUACCAUGUAAAACUUGUGUUCUAGAAUGUAAAGUGUACUUUGUAAAA